rnacentral:lncRNA from 1 species
UCAAAAACAAACAAACAUAAAACAAAACAAAACAAAACAAAACAAAAAACUUCCCCUUCAUCAAAACAAAUGAUUUUGGUCCAAUAGUAUAUCUUUCAAAAUGGCCAUAUUGAUGAGAAGAUCAAAAUGGCUCAUUGUGAGCCAUAUCAGACAGAGGCUUCAGCCACAGCACUGCCAACCCCAACUCGUUGCAAGGCAAGAUAUCCAUCCUGCUUUUGUCUACAUCUUUUUCUCUGUUAUCAUUUCUCUAGGUUCCAGAACUGGCUUCACAUGCCCUUGCCUCAGCCUAGAGGUUUCUCUACCAGGAAUCAAGGCUGGCACCUUCUACAGAGGGUUCUAGGACUAGGCAGGAAUCAACACAGUCUGGAAGAGUAAUGGAAGACCACAGUAUCCAUGAGCAAGAACCCAGGACAAGACACAGAACAUACUAUUCCAAGCCACGGAGUGGAGAAAGGUUUCUCAGUGUCUGCCCAGCAGACUGGCAGCAUCCACACCUCUUUUUGGUGAAAGAACACCAAUACUCUUUGCUACCACAAAUUAUGCAGCUGACUUUCCUGCCUUUGGAGGAGUCACAGGUUAACAUACCUACAGUGCAAUGGAUGAGCCUCACCUUGGGAAAAUCACCCUCAUGGUCAUGAGAUCUCCCCUGCCAGGUAAGUAUGUAUCCACACCUCUAGCAAGCUUGCUAGAAAUGCAUACUCUCAGGAUCCACCCAGGUAUAUAGAAUCACUCACUCUAGGGGUUGCAGCUGUGAUCUGCUUGAAUGGGUCCUGACAUGCUGGUCUAAGAAACACUGGCUGAGAAACAAGACUCAGGAUUCAACCUAGACAUUGUUGGGCCUGCCUAGCCACAUAGUGUUUAAGUCUCCUGUGUUUGUGCCAUUAACAGUAAAUCCUGUUUAACGUCUGUCUUCUCCUCUGAGCUCCUGGGACCUUGAUUCAAUUGUAUUUACUUUCCAAACUAACACGUGCACUGUGUCUGGCAUUGAGCUGAGACUCAAAUGCUUUUGAACUGCUAUCUUGAAGUUUUUUCAAAUGAUUAACUUAGUGCCAGAGAUGUCCCUACCUAUGCAACA